UUUCCGUAGGUGAACCUGCGGAAGGAUCAUUACCGAAUUGUCAAACGGGUUGUUGCUGGUCUUCAAACGGGGACAUGUGCACGCUCUGUUUACACAUCCACUCACACCUGUGCACCCUCCGUAGUUCUAUGGUCUGGGGGACCCUGUCUUCCUGCCGUGGUUCUACGUCUUUACACACACUCUGUAAUAAAGUCUCAUGGAAUGUAUGCCGCGUCUAACGCAAUACAUUACAACUUUCAGCAACGGAUCUCUUGGCUCUC
rnacentral:misc_RNA from 1 species